GCGGAGGAAAAGAAACCAACAGGGAUUGCCCCAGUAACGGCGAGUGAAGCGGCAAAAGCUCAAAUUUGAAAUCUGGCUCCUUUUAGGGGUCCGAGUUGUAAUUUGCAGAGGAUGCUUUGGGUGCACCCGCGGCGUAAGUCCCUUGGAACAGGGCGUCAUAGAGGGUGAGAAUCCCGUCUUGAGUCGCUGGCGUGUGCCCGUGCAAAGCUCCUUCGACGAGUCGAGUUGUUUGGGAAUGCAGCUCUAAUUGGGUGGUAAAUUUCAUCUAAAGCUAAAUACUGGCCGGAGACCGAUAGCGAACAAGUAGAGUGAUCGAAAGGUUAAAAGCACCUUGAAAAGGGAGUUAAAUAGCACGUGAAAUUGUUGAAAGGGAAGCGCUUGCAGCCAGACUCGGGUGCGGAGGCUCAGCGGGCAUGUUUGCCCGUGUACUCCUUCGCGCCCGGGCCAGCAUCAGUUUUGGCGGCCGGUCAAAGGCCCUCGGGAUGUGUCGUCCUCCGGGACGUCUUAUAACCGGGGGUGCAAUGCGGUCAGCCGGGACUGAGGAA
rnacentral:rRNA from 1 species